UUUAUUUUAUUUUUGUUACAAACAACUUAAUUAAUAUAUAAUUAAAAGUAUAAGUCCCGUAGAAACCACACAAACAAAAAAGUUUCCAUAUUAAUAUAUGAGUUUAAAUAUAGGUCCCGUAGAUGUUAUAAAAGAACGGACAAGUUUAUUAAUACUAGAACUUUGACCCAUGCGGUGCAUGAGUCUAAUUAGGUGUAAUAUGUAAUAAUAAAAAAUAAAAUACAAAGAU
rnacentral:lncRNA from 1 species